GACGAACGCUGGCGGCGUGCUUAACACAUGCAAGUCGAGCGGAAAGGCCCUUCGGGGUACUCGAGCGGCGAACGGGUGAGUAACACGUGAGUAACCUGCCCCAGACUUUGGGAUAACCCUCGGAAACGGGGGCUAAUACCGGAUACGACACAGCUUCGCAUGGGGUCUGUGUGGAAAGUUUUUCGGUUUGGGAUGGGCUCGCGGCCUAUCAGCUCGUUGGUGGGGUGAUGGCCUACCAAGGCGACGACGGGUAGCCGGCCUGAGAGGGCGAACGGCCACAAUGGGACUGAGGCACGGACCAGUCUCCUACGGGGGGCAGCGGUGGGGAAUAUUGCACAAUGGGCGGGAGCCUGAUGCAGCGACGCCGCGUGAGGGAUGACGGCCUUCGGGUUGUAAACCUCUUUCAGCAGGGACGAAGCGUAAGUGACGGUACCUGCAGAAGAAGCGCCGGCUAACUACGUG
rnacentral:rRNA from 1 species